GGAUGUGAGGGUGACCUGGCUGCGACACCAGUCACCCCGCUGGUCUCCAGGGUUGAUUGUGCUGAUCAGGCCAGCCAGGUGGUGUCCCCUUCCUCCGUCCGUACUCCACGCGCAUCUUUGCGGAAGCUGACUCCGGAGUAGACAACCUUCCCUGAAUAGAGACUGUCUUCAGUCGAGGCUGCGCUCCCCUGCUAGAACCUACAAACAAGCUCUCACAUGACACAUACAUUCUUUUUAACUUACUCAAACAGAGCAGUGUAUUAUAUUUGGAUCAUUAUAGCAUGAUAAAUGGGUAGCAGACGGAUGUGCUCAGACAG
rnacentral:snRNA from 1 species